rnacentral:rRNA from 1 species
GACGAACGCUGGCGGCGUGCUUAACACAUGCAAGUCGAACGGAAAGGCCCUGCUUGCAGGGUACUCGAGUGGCGAACGGGUGAGUAACACGUGGGUGAUCUGCCCUGCACUUCGGGAUACGCCUGGGAAACUGGGUCUAAUACCGGAUAGGAGCCAUGGUGAGUGUGAUGGUUGGAAAGUUUUUGCGGUGUCGGAUGAGCUCGCGGCCUAUCAGCUUGUUGGUGGGGUAAUGGCCUACCAAGGCGGCGACGGGUAGCCGGCCUGAGAGGGUGGACGGCCACAUUGGGACUGAGAUACGGCCCAGGCUCCGACGGGAGGCAGAAGUGGGGAAUAUUGAACAAUGGGCGCCGGCCUGAUGCAGCGACGCCGCGUGGGGGAUGACGGUCUUCGGGUUGUAAACUCCUUUCGCUAGGGACGAAGCUUUUUGUGACGGUACCUAGAUAAGAAGCACCGGCUAACUACGUG